rnacentral:rRNA from 1 species
CGGGGGGGGCAAGCGUUGUUCGGAAUUACUGGGCGUAAAGGGUGCGUAGGCGGCUCUCUAAGUCGGAUGUGAAAACUCUGGGCUCAACCCAGAGCCUGCAUCUGAAACUGGAGGGCUAGGGUUUUGGAGGGGAAAGCGGAAUUCCAGGUGUAGCGGUGAAAUGCGUAGAUAUCUGGAGGAACACCGGUGGCGAAGGCGGCUUUCUGGACAAAUACCGACGCUGAGGCACGAAAGCUAGGGGAGCAAACAGGAUUAGAUACCCUGGUAGUCCUAGCCCUAAACUAUGGAUACUUGCUGUGGGGGGGAUUGAAGCCCCUUGUGGCGAAGCUAACGCAUUAAGUAUCCCGCCUGGGGAGUACGGUCGCAAGGCUG